UACGUAGGGUGCAAGCGUUGUCCGGAAUUAUUGGGCGUAAAGAGCUCGUAGGCGGUCUGUCGCGUCUGCUGUGAAAACUCAGGGCUUAACCCUGAGCUUGCUGUGGGUACGGGCAGACUAGAGUGCGGUAGGGGAGACUGGAAUUCCUGGUGUAGCGGUGAAAUGCGCAGAUAUCAGGAGGAACACCGGUGGCGAAGGCGGGUCUCUGGGCCGUAACUGACGCUGAGGAGCGAAAGCAUGGGGAGCGAACAGG
rnacentral:rRNA from 1 species